UACGUAGGGCGCAAGCGUUAUCCGGAAUUAUUGGGCGUAAAGAGCUCGUAGGCGGUUUGUCGCGUCUGCCGUGAAAGUCCGGGGCUUAACUCCGGAUCUGCGGCGGGUACGGGCAGACUAGAGUGAUGUAGGGGAGACUGGAAUUCCUGGUGUAGCGGUGAAAUGCGCAGAUAUCAGGAGGAACACCGAUGGCGAAGGCAGGUCUCUGGGCAUUAACUGACGCUGAGGAGCGAAAGCAUGGGGAGCGAACAGG
rnacentral:rRNA from 1 species